rnacentral:misc_RNA from 1 species
UGUGGGAGCUGGCUUGCCUGCGAUGCCGGCACCCCGGUGUAUCAGUUACACCGAGGUGAUGCUAUCGCGGGCAAGCCCGGCUCCCACA